rnacentral:rRNA from 1 species
CAGCAGCCGCGGGAAUACGAAGGGUGCAAGCGUUAAUCGGAAUUACUGGGCGUAAAGCGUGCGUAGGCGGUUUGUUAAGUCUGCUGUGAAAUCCCCGGGCUCAACCUGGGAAUGGCAGUGGAUACUGGCAAGCUAGAGUGUGUCAGAGGAUGGUGGAAUUCCCGGUGUAGCGGUGAAAUGCGUAGAGAUCGGGAGGAACAUCAGUGGCGAAGGCGGCCAUCUGGGACAACACUGACGCUGAGGCACGAAAGCGUGGGGAGCAAACAGGAUUAGAUACCCCCGUAGUCCCUGUCUCUUAUAA